ensembl:lncRNA
GUCAGUACCCUUGACUGUUUCUUUCUGCAACAACGUUAGCCACCUGUGUUAGGCCUCUGCGCUCACUGACCAAUUACCUGAUCAGGGCCAAAUGACGGCAGACGCACACUAAUAUGAUGAGCAGCAAAAUGGUGUUUAUUCACUACUAAACACAGCUUAGAUACAUUUUUACCUACAAAACCGUGCUGUCAUGUCCCACCCUGAUUGGUUCACACCAGAUAACAUUGUGCCUUAUUUGGCCGUUUCCACAUUCUUUUCUCACCCUUCUUCUUCUCCUGUUUUCUCUGCAUCAAGGUCAGCACGAUAGCACUGUCUCUCUAUGCUGAGGGAGAAGCCUGUCCCGUACAUCCCAUGCCCCCACAAGAAGCCUACUACAACAUGUUUCAAAGCAGAAUUUUAUAUUUCCCCUUAGAAAAAUCAAUUUAAUAUUACCAGAAAAAAAUAUUCAUGUUAGCUAGAGUGUUAAAAAUAAAAUUUCAGGCAUGUGUAUAAAGAAUACUAACCUACAGAAAUUAGUAGGGUUGAUAUUUGGUAGAAUAUCUGCAGUUGAAAUGUAAAUCAGCUCUCUCAAUUUCUAGCUCGGUGCAUUUUUGCAUACCUGUAUUGUUAUAAACUGUAUUCUUUUUACAUUUGAAGAAAACCUGUGUGUCUGUGUGAACACACACAUGCACAGUCUCUCACAUGCAAAUGUAUAAUGUCUUCCAACAAAAUCUGGGGAUGUGGUAAAAUUUAUAAGGCAGGAUUAAUGUGGCUGAAUGUAAAUGCCUCUAGUAUAGAUGUUUAUAUCAAAACUAGCCACUCUGUUCUCCCUUUAUAGUCAGUGGAGGGAAACAGGUUUUGCUGGAGUGUGAUUCAUCUCCUGCUAAAGUAGAUGUCUGAAAUAGGUCAGGCACCUAUUUCUGCCACUGUGUUCAAAGGCAGCCUUUGGUGCCUAGCUCAGACAGGGAGAUCUAUCUACAUUGUAGAUGUCUGAGGGUGGGUGAAAUAAGCAUGAAUCAGCUGUGUUUCCUUACAGCAAAAGCAGCCAGCUG